rnacentral:rRNA from 1 species
GAUGAACGCUAGCUACAGGCUUAACACAUGCAAGUCGAGGGGCAGCAUGGUCUUAGCUUGCUAAGGCCGAUGGCGACCGGCGCACGGGUGAGUAACACGUAUCCAACCUGCCGUCUACUCUUGGACAGCCUUCUGAAAGGAAGAUUAAUACAAGAUGGCAUCAUGAGUCCACAUGUUCACAUGAUUAAAGGUAUUCCGGUAGACGAUGGGGAUGCGUUCCAUUAGAUAGUAGGCGGGGUAACGGCCCACCUAGUCUUCGAUGGAUAGGGGUUCUGAGAGGAAGGUCCCCCACAUUGGAACUGAGACACGGUCCAAACUCCUACGGGAGGCAGCAGUGAGGAAUAUUGGUCAAUGGGCGAGAGCCUGAACCAGCCAAGUAGCGUGAAGGAUGACUGCCCUAUGGGUUGUAAACUUCUUUUAUAAAGGAAUAAAGUCGGGUAUGGAUACCCGUUUGCAUGUACUUUAUGAAUAAGGAUCGGCUAACUCCGUGCCAGCAGCCGCGGUAAUACGGAGGAUCCGAGCGUUAUCCGGAUUUAUUGGGUUUAAAGGGAGCGUAGAUGGAUGUUUAAGUCAGUUGUGAAAGUUUGCGGCUCAACCGUAAAAUUGUAGUUGAUACUGGAUAUCUUGAGUGCAGUUGAGGCAGGCGGAAUUCGUGGUGUAGCGGUGAAAUGCUUAGAUAUCACGAAGAACUCCGAUUGCGAAGGCAGCCUGCUAAGCUGCAACUGACAUUGAGGCUCGAAAGUGUGGGUAUCAAACAGGAUUAGAUACCCUGGUAGUCCACACGGUAAACGAUGAAUACUCGCUGUUUGCGAUAUACAGCAAGCGGCCAAGCGAAAGCGUUAAGUAUUCCACCUGGGGAGUACGCCGGCAACGGUGAAACUCAAAGGAAUUGACGGGGGCCCGCACAAGCGGAGGAACAUGUGGUUUAAUUCGAUGAUACGCGAGGAACCUUACCCGGGCUUAAAUUGCAGAUGAAUUACGGUGAAAGCCGUAAGCCGCAAGGCAUCUGUGAAGGUGCUGCAUGGUUGUCGUCAGCUCGUGCCGUGAGGUGUCGGCUUAAGUGCCAUAACGAGCGCAACCCUUGUUGUCAGUUACUAACAGGUUCCGCUGAGGACUCUGACAAGACUGCCAUCGUAAGAUGUGAGGAAGGUGGGGAUGACGUCAAAUCAGCACGGCCCUUACGUCCGGGGCUACACACGUGUUACAAUGGGGGGUACAGAGGGCCGCUACCACGCGAGUGGAUGCCAAUCCCAAAAACCUCUCUCAGUUCGGACUGGAGUCUGCAACCCGACUCCACGAAGCUGGAUUCGCUAGUAAUCGCGCAUCAGCCACGGCGCGGUGAAUACGUUCCCGGGCCU